AUUGUUGAUAAAACCGAAUGGUAUGUAUGACAAUGUUUCUUCGCAGUUUUCCCUUACCUUCACAGGAACCUACUCAUUCAUACCAGCCCGGUGACAAGGAGUAUAUCCGUCAGCUGAACAGGACCAAGAAAGGAGGAUACCCUUUUGGACCACCUGCUACUGUGAUUGCUGUACCCAGAACCGCUGUCCUCACAGAUUCCCACGACAUCUGGAUUCACGCAUCCCGAGUGAAGCUGUGUCCAAAGAGGGGAACCAAGGAAGACAACACCACUCCUCGCUCGGAAACAGAAGAAUUUCUCCUCAGCGAAGCGUCAUGGCUUUUACAUCAUAUCGUAGAUUGAGAGGAUCAUACGUACCUGAGACCAAGAUUAUGUUGUGUGCUAUGCUUUCUGGAGUUGUUAUACUCCCUCUGAUAUUGUUCCUUGAAUGCCAUUAUGAGUACAAGUCAAUGGCAAGUUCUGUAAAAAGACUCUGACAUGAUGAACAAUUCUUCAAUACCCCAGCCCAAUUAGGCCUUAGCCCCUCAUCUAGCAUUCGUCACACACGCCCCCUCAAGAACCUUUCUCCACCACCUUUCUAUCAGCAUGUAAUAUGCAAUCAUUCAUUCAAUGAACGCAUUUGGAUGAAUUGGACAAAUAGUAACCCUUAUAAGUACCAGUUACCCAUAUGAAAUGUGUCCACAGCUAAUGAAACCGAUGCAUUAUGUUUGUUUAAAGGUUCACAGAAAAUUGUUAGAUCUUAUAACGCAGAAAUGUGCACAGUUAAGGUUGCAUAUCAAUGUAAAUAGACAGGCCUUAUUACUUUUAAUAAUGAUUAUAUAACUGGUAUCAUUAAUUGGAAAAAGGGCCAAAUGUUAGUCAUUAUGAACGACACUACAAUUGAGAACUAUACACUACCUUAUAUUUUUACACCUUAUUACUGUCCUUCAUCCACUAUCAUAGAACCAAAAGUCAACCACGACACACACACACCUAUUCCGUCCACAUGUGUUAAUACAACUGCCUUCUUACAAGCUGUACAUGUGUCAUUAAAAGUCACUACUCCUGUUGUAACAUUAUGUAAUACAACAAACAAAGGCAGAAAAGGGAAUGGUAUGACACACUGUUAGGAGGUGCUGGAACCACUAUGGGUAUACUAAAUAGUUAUAGAUAUGGAGACCCUCAAGAAUAAGUUAAACACAGCCAGCAUGCAUAUAGGGACUGGUUUCCAUGCUACUGCAAACUGGGCUCCAAUUGUUAAAUCACAGGUUACAGGAUUGGAUUUAGAUAAAUCAAUGUAUAAUUAUUUAGAUAAUUUAACUGUUGCAACUAUGAAAUUCACUACAGGUCUAAGUAACUGGAGUACUUGUGCCAUCAGGUAUUUAUGGAUACAACAACAAGGAUUGGCAUUAGAAAACACACUAAUGAUUCCUAAACUAGAGAAGAUUAGAGGAAUGUGUAACCUCACAGAUAAUGAAUGGUUACUUCUAAAACCCCAAUCCACUAAAUGCAAUGAAUGGUUAACUGGUAAUGUUUCACAUUUUUCAUGCUCAUGCUAUUUUACAUUAUAUCAUACAUCAUCAAAGGAUGUUAAAUUAGCUUGUCAAUUUAACACAUUACCAGUACCAGUUUAUGAUCUUUUUGCCAAGAAUUUAACCUGGUGGGCACCCACAUACACAGGGGACUAUAUUUUUCCCAAAGAUAACAUACACAGGUAGCCACGCAUAUCCUAAAAGGAGAACUCCUUAAGGUGAGUUCACAAAUUCAGAAUGAUUUAGCCCAUCAUUGGUACGAUGCUUCACUGGUUGGUCCCCUACUGGAUCUCAGAUAAUGAAAUCAUUCUUCUAUCAUUUUGUUAUUAUAGUCCUGAUUUUAUUGUGUUUGAUUUUAUAUAACUGUCACCUUACUUGUACAUUGAGGAAGAGAGUACAGAAAUGAAUCCAUAAUGCAGAACAGAAACAAUUAGAACUUCUCCUCUCUGCCACUGGAGGGUAUCAACCCAUCUUUAAACUGGGCCUUAGGAAUUACCACAUGGGAAUCGAGGUGAAGAAAUUAAUGAAAGUCCCGCAGGGAGUGACUAGCACCCCUGAAAAUACCAUGUGGAAGUUUCUCUGUCCUGAUAAGAUUUUAUCGAUAAGAUGAGCAAUUGUUUUAUUGCUCAAAGAGGGGAAUGUAAGAAUAUUAAAUAGUUAACUUGUUU